rnacentral:rRNA from 1 species
CUGGCGGCAUGCUUUACACAUGCAAGUCGAACGGUAACAGGUCUUCGGAUGCUGACGAGUGGCGAACGGGUGAGUAAUGCAUCGGAACGUGCCCAGUCGUGGGGGAUAACGCAGCAGCUGUGCUAAUACCGCAUACGAUCUAUGGAUGAAAGCGGGGGAUCGCAAGACCUCGCGCGAUUGGAGCGGCCGAUGUCAGAUUAGCUAGUUGGUGGGGUAAAGGCCCACCAAGGCGACGAUCUGUAGCUGGUCUGAGAGGACGACCAGCCACACUGGGACUGAGACACGGCCCAGACUCCUACGGAGGCAGCAGUCAGGAAUGUUGGACAAUGGGCGCAAGCCUGAUCCAGCAAUGAGGCGUGCAGGAGCAGGCCUCGGGUUGUAAACUGCUGUUGUACGGA